AUUGAACGCUGGCGGCAUGCCUUACACAUGCAAGUCGAACGGUAACAGGUCUUCGGAUGCUGACGAGUGGCGAACGGGUGAGUAAUACAUCGGAACGUGCCCGAUCGUGGGGGAUAAUGAGGCGAAAGCUUUGCUAAUACCGCAUACGAUCUACGGAUGAAAGCGGGGGAUCUUCGGACCUCGCGCGGACGGAGCGGCCGAUGGCAGAUUAGGUAGUUGGUGGGAUAAAAGCUUACCAAGCCGACGAUCUGUAGCUGGUCUGAGAGGAUGAUCAGCCACACUGGGACUGAGACACGGCCCAGACUCCUACGGGAGGCAGCAGUGGGGAAUUUUGGACAAUGGGCGAAAGCCUGAUCCAGCCAUGCCGCGUGCAGGAUGAAGGCCUUCGGGUUGUAAACUGCUUUUGUACGGAACGAAAAGCCUCUUUCUAAUAAAGAGGGGUCAUGACGGUACCGUAAGAAUAAGCACCGGCUAACUACGUG
rnacentral:rRNA from 1 species